rnacentral:rRNA from 1 species
AUUGAUAAACAUUUGAGUGAGUGGCGGACGGGUGAGUAACACGUGGGUAACCUGCCCUAAAUGGGGGAUAACGUUUGGAAACAGAUGCUAAUACCGCAUAACAGCUUGGACCGCAUGGUCCGAGCUUGAAAGAUGGCUUCGGCUAUCACUUCUGGAUGGUCCCGCGGCGUAUUAGCUAGAUGGUGAGGUAACGGCUCACCAUGGCAAUGAUACGUAGCCGACCUGAGAGGGUAAUCGGCCACAUUGGGACUGAGACACGGCCCAGACUCC